UUUCUAGCCUGAUUUCCCGAAACUUUGUGCAGGUGCCAUUGUCAUCAAUCGUUUACACUUUCUGUCAUGGCAAAAUUUUAAAGUGAAAAAAUCACACUAUGUGACUAAAAUCAUGUUUUCCAUCAGCGCUUCAGGAGCAAUUGAUUACUCAGAUCUUUAGAAUGCCACUAUCAGCCUUCGAAUCAAUGGUCCUCACUUUUGCCAUUGUCGGCAGUGUUCAUCUGUUGGUCACUUUACUGGCCAGCUUGGAAAAUGACGAUUUGGAUAAUCGAGCCAUCAUGAAAGAUCUGGCAAAGUAUAAGUUUAUGCACGAAAAUAGGAUACACAGCACUAAAGUUCCGUUCUUUCAUUGAUGAUAAUAUAAAAAGCGAUUAGUUGAAAGUGCUAAGGAAGUAGGAAUAAUGAGUGACAAUCAAAUAUUCAGCAGUCGAAUGGAAUUGAAAGGCAAAAAACCAUUGAAUUAGUAAAAAGGACAUUGAAACAUUCGGCCCGCUUGAAGAAUACUGAACAGCACUUAUGCGGGGAAUCUCAAAUCAGUUCUCAGAUUAAUGUGCUCGGAUAAAAUUGAAGCGAUUCGUAUUACGGUUCUUGGUUAGAAGAUUUCUGGGUUCCCAUAUGACGCCGCAAUCCCGCGGCAGAAAAAUGGAAAUAGCAAACAACAGCGACCGGUUUUCAAAGAUCUUCCGAUCUCACGAAUCCGUUACCAGUGAAUUUAUUUGCCCACAAGCUCAAUUCGUUACGGAAUUAAAUGAAGAAAACAUUUCCACUCACGUCCCGCUUGGCCUUUAACUUAACUUAAUUUAACAAUAACAGAAGGAAAAAUAAACAUUUUUUUAUUGAA